GGAGCGGUCCGGAUGGUCGCGGUAUCGGCAACGGUAUCGAGGAAAGUCCGGGCUGCGCUGGGUAAGGAUGCCGGAUAACGUCCGGCGGGGGUGACCCCGGGAAAGUGCCACAGAGAGCAGACCGCCCUGCUAUUGCAGGGUAAGGGUGAAAGGGUGCGGUAAGAGCGCACCGCCUGAACCGGCAACGGAUCAGGGCAUGGUAAACCCCAUCCGCAGCAAGGCCAAAUAGGGAAGCAAUAGGCGUGGCCCGCGCUGCUUCCGGGUAGGCUGCUUGAGGGCGUCGGCAACGGCGUUCCCAGAUGAAUGACCGUCAAAGGCUUCGGCCUGAACAGAACCCGGCUUACAGGACCGCUCCGCUU
rnacentral:RNase_P_RNA from 1 species